GUAAGAACCGCCAUGUAUGUCUGUAAGUUUUAUUUGGGGACAGUGGCUUGCUGAGUAACUAAGAUGCCUCCUGGGUUGAAACUUGUGAUCUUCUGCCUCAGCUUUCCAGGGUGCUAGGAUUAUGUGUGUAUACCACCAUGCUUGGCUCUCUUUUUAGAUAUUGGUGUCUGGACUCCUAUCCUGUGAUUGGAGAAUUUAG